GACGAACGCUGGCGGCGUGCUUAACACAUGCAAGUCGAACGGAAAGGCCCUGCUUUUGUGGGGUGCUCGAGUGGCGAACGGGUGAGUAACAAGUGAGUAACCUGCCCUUGACUUUGGGAUAACUUCAGGAAACUGGGGCUAAUACCGGAUAGGAGCUCCUGCUGCAUGGUGGGGGUUGGAAAGUUUCGGCGGUUGGGGAUGGACUCGCGGCUUAUCAGCUUGUUGGUGGGGUAGUGGCUUACCAAGGCUUUGACGGGUAGCCGGCCUGAGAGGGUGACCGGCCACAGUGGGACUGAGAUACGGCCCAGACUACUACGGGAGGCAGCAGUGGGGAAUAUUGCACAAUGGGCGGAAGCCUGAUGCAGCAACGCCGCGUGCGGGAUGACGGCCUUCGGGUUGUAAACCGCUUUCGCCUGUGACGAAGCGUGAGUGACGGUAAUGGGUAAAGAAGCACCGGCUAACUACGUG
rnacentral:rRNA from 1 species